GGCAGACGGGUGAGUAACACGUAGGGAACGUGCCCUUACGGUUCGGAAUAAUUCAGGGAAACUUGAGCUAAUACCGGAUACGCCCUUAUGGGGAAAGGUUUACUGCGAAGGAUCGGCCCGCGUCUGAUUAGCUAGUUGGUGGGGUAAUGGCCCACCAAGGCGACGAUCAGUAGCUGGUCUGAGAGGAUGAUCAGCCACACUGGGACUGAGACACGGCCCAGACUCCUACGGGAGGCAGCAGUGGGGAAUAUUGGACAAUGGGCGCAAGCCUGAUCCAGCCAUGCCGCGUGUGUGAUGAAGGCCUUAGGGUUGUAAAGCACUUUCGACGGGGACGAUAAAUGACGGGUACCCGUAGAAAGAAGCCCCGGCUAAACUUCGUGGCCAGCAGCCGCGG
rnacentral:rRNA from 1 species